rnacentral:rRNA from 1 species
GACGAACGCUGGCGGCGUGCUUAACACAUGCAAGUCGAACGGAAAGGCCCUGCUUUUGUGGGGUGCUCGAGUGGCGAACGGGUGAGUAACACGUGAGUAACCUGCCCUUGACUUUGGGAUAACUUCAGGAAACUGGGGCUAAUACCGGAUAGGAGCUCCUGCUGCAUGGGGGGGGGUGGAAGGUUUCGGCGGUUGGGGAUGGACUCGCGGCUUAUCAGCUUGUUGGUGGGGUAGUGGCUUACCAAGGCUUUGACGGGUAGCCGGCCUGAGCGGGUGACCGGCCACAUUGGGACUGAGAUACGGCCCAGACUCCUACGGGAGGCAGCAGUGGGGAAUAUUGCACAAUGGGCGGAAGCCUGAUGCAGCAACGCCGCGUGCGGGAUGACGGCCUUCGGGUUGUAAACCGCUUUCGCCUGUGACGAAGCGUGAGUGACGGUAAUGGGUAAAGAAGCACCGGCUAACUACGUG